rnacentral:rRNA from 1 species
AACGAACGCUGGCGGCAGGCCUAACACAUGCAAGUCGAACGCUCCGCAAGGGGAGUGGCAGACGGGUGAGUAACACGUGGGAAUCUUCCUGUUGGUACGGAAUAGCUCAGGGAAACUUGGGGUAAUACCGUAUAAGCCCGAGAGGGGAAAGAUUUAUCGCCGACAGAUGAGCCCGCGUCUGAUUAGCUAGUUGGUGAGGUAAUGGCUCACCAAGGCGACGAUCAGUAGCNGGUCUGAGAGGAUGACCAGCCACACUGGGACUGAGACACGGCCCAGACUCCUACGGGAGGCAGCAGUGGGGAAUAUUGGACAAUGGGCGCAAGCCUGAUCCAGCCAUGCCGCGUGAGUGACGAAGGUCUUCGGAUUGUAAAGCUCUUUUGCCAGGGACGAUAAUGACGGUACUGGAGAAUAAGCCCCGGCUAACUUCGUGCCAGCCGCCGCCGUAAAC